rnacentral:rRNA from 1 species
UGCGCGCGGCAUGGUCGUCUCCUCGGAACACCAAAGGCGCAGAAAACAUAACUUGAGUUGUGCGGGAUUACGGGUGCGGCUCUCCGCGGCGCCCCUCCAUCCCCGGGUGUUGCAACCGGCAUGCGGUGGAACGGUCUCGUGCCCUCCACCGUGCCGCAACAUACCGUGAGUGUGCAGGAUGUGACCCGAAAGAUGGUGAACUAUGCCUGAUCAGGUUGAAGUCAGGGGAAACCCUGAUGGAGGACCGAAGCAGUUCUGACGUGCAAAUCGAUUGUCAGAAUUGGGCAUAGGGGCGAAAGACCAAUCGAACCAUCUAGUAGCUGGUUCCUUCCGAAA